GCCGCGGUGGCCGAGAGGUUAUAGCGUUCGCCCCGUAUGCGGAAGGCCGGGGUUCGAAUCCCUGCCGCGACA